rnacentral:rRNA from 1 species
AUUGAACGCUGGCGGAAUGCUUUACACAUGCAAGUCGAACGGCAGCACGGACUUCGGUCUGGUGGCGAGUGGCGAACGGGUGAGUCAUACAUCGGAACGUGCCCAGUCGUGGGGGAUAACGUAGCGAAAGCUACGCUAAUACCGCAUACGAUCUAAGGAUGAAAGCGGGGGAUCGCCAGACCUCGCGCGAUUGGAGCGGCCGGUGGCAGAUUAGGUAGUUGGUGGGGUAAAGGCUCACCAAGCCGACGAUCUGUAGCUGGUCUGAGAGGACGACCAGCCACACUGGGACUGAGACACGGCCCAGACUCCUACGGGAGGCAGCAGUGGGGAAUUUUGGACAAUGGGCGCAAGCCUGAUCCAGCCAUUCCGCGUGCAGGAUGAAGGCCCUCGGGUUGUAAACUGCUUUUGUACGGAACGAAAAGGCUCUGGUUAAUACCUGGGGCUCAUGACGGUACCGUAAGAAUAAGCACCGGCUAACUACGUGCCAGCCGCCGCGGUAA